CCUACGGGAGGCAGCAGUGGGGAAUAUUGGACAAUGGGGGCAACCCUGAUCCAUCCAUGCCGCGUGUGUGAAGAAGGCCCUCGGGUUGUAAAGCACUUUCAGUGAGGAAGAACGCCUGGUGGUUAAUACCCAUCAGGAAAGACAUCACUCACAGAAGAAGCACCGGCUAACUCCGUGCCAGCAGCCGCGGUAAUACGGAGGGUGCGAGCGUUAAUCGGAAUUACUGGGCGUAAAGCGCGCGUAGGUGGCUUGAUAAGCCGGUUGUGAAAGCCCCGGGCUCAACCUGGGAACGGCAUCCGGAACUGUCAAGCUAGAGUGCAGGAGAGGAAGGUAGAAUUCCCGGUGUAGAGGUGAAAUGCGUAGAGAUCGGGAAGAAUACCAGUGGCGAAGGCGGCCUUCUGGACUGACACUGACACUGAGGUGCGAAAGCGUGGGUAGCAAACAGGAUUAGAUACCCUUGUAGUC
rnacentral:rRNA from 1 species